rnacentral:rRNA from 1 species
CCUACGGGAGGCAGCAGUGAGGAAUAUUGGUCAAUGGGCGCGAGCCUGAACCAGCCAAGUAGCGUGAAGGAUGAAUGCCCUACGGGUUGUAAACUUCUUUUAUAAAGGAAUAAAGUGAGGCACGUGUGCCUGUUUGUAUGUACUUUAUGAAUAAGGCUCGGCUAACUCCGUGCCAGCAGCCGCGGUAAUACGGAGGAUCCGAGCGUUAUCCGGAUUUAGUGGGUUUAAAGGGAGCGUAGAUGGGUUGUUAAGUCAGUUGUGAAAGUUUGCGGCUCAACCGUAAAAUUGCAAUUGAUACUGGCAGGCUUGAGUACAGUUGAGGUAGGCGGAAUUCGUGGUGUAGCGGUGAAAUGCUUAGAUAUCACGAAGAACUCCGAUUGCGAAGGCAGCUUACUAAACUGCCACUGACAUUGAUGCUCGAAAGUGUGGGUAUCAAACAGGAUUAGAUACCCGGGUAGUC